rnacentral:rRNA from 1 species
AGAGUUUGAUCCUGGCUCAGAACGUACGCUGGCGGCACGCCUAACACAUGCAAGUCGAACGAAGUAGCAAUACUUAGUGGCAGACGGGUGAGUAACAUGUAGGUAUCUGCCCUUUGGCCUGGAAUAACACGAGGAAACUUGUGCUAAUACUGGAUAAGUCUUUACGGAGAAAGCUUUAUGCACCAUUGGAUGAGCCUGCACUUGAUUAGUUUGUUGGUGGGGUAAUGGCCUACCAAGACUGUGAUCAAUAGCUGAUUUGAGAGGAUGAUCAGCCACAUUGGGACUGAGACACGGCCCAAACUCCUACGGGAGGCAGCAGUGGGGAAUCUUGCACAAUGGAGGAAACUCUGAUGCAGCGAUGCCGCGUGAGUGAAGAAGGCCCUUGGGUUGUAAAGCUCUUUCGUCGGGGAAGAAAAUGACUGUACCCGAAUAAGAAGGUCCGGCUAACUUCGUGCCAGCAGCCGCGGUAAUACGAAGGGACCUAGCGUAGUUCGGAAUUACUGGGCUUAAAGAGUUCGUAGGUGGUUGAAAAAGUUGGUGGUGAAAUCCCAGAGCUUAACUCUGGAACUGCCAUCAAAACUUUUCAGCUAGAGUAUGAUAGAGGAAAGCAGAAUUUCUAGUGUAGAGGUGAAAUUCGUAGAUAUUAGAAAGAAUACCAAUUGCGAAGGCAGCUUUCUGGGUCAUUACUGACACUGAGGAACGAAAGCAUGGGUAGCGAAGAGGAUUAGAUACCCUCGUAGUCCAUGCCGUAAACGAUGUGUGUUAGACGUUGGAAAUUUAUUUUCAGUGUCGCAGCGAAAGCGAUAAACACACCGCCUGGGGAGUACGACCGCAAGGUUAAAACUCAAAUGAAUUGACGGGGACCCGCACAAGUAGUGGAGCAUGUGGUUUAAUUCGAAGAUACGCGCAGAACCUUACCAACACUUGACAUGUUCGUCGCGACUUUAAGAGAUUAAAGUUUUCGGUUCGGCCGGACGAAACACAGGUGCUGCAUGGCUGUCGUCAGCUCGUGUCGUGAGAUGUUGGGUUAAGUCCCGCAACGAGCGCAACCCUCACUUUUAGUUGCCAUCAUUAAGUUGGGCACUCUGAAAGAACUGCCAGUGAUAAGCUGGAGGAAGGUGGGGAUGACGUCAAGUCCUCAUGGCCCUUACGUGUUGGGCUACACACGUGCUACAAUGGUAUCUACAACAGGAAGCAAGACUGCGAGGUCAAGCAAAUCCUUAAAAGAUACCUCAGUUCGGAUUGCACUCUGCAACUCGAGUGCAUGAAGCUGGAAUUACUAGUAAUCGUGGAUCAGCGUGCCACGGUGAAUGCGUUCCCGGGUCUUGUACACACCGCCCGU